GCAUCUCCAUCUGCUCUGACUCCCCAAGGACAAUUCUGUGCUCCAUCUGUGAGCAGGGUGAGUGGGAAGCGGAGCCUGAGGGGGCACUGAACAGGAUAAGGGAGGAAUAGGCAGCUGGGAGAGGAAGAGCAGAAAAUGCCUGCUUCUUCAGGCCGCCCUGGACUCAGUGAGGCAGGAGGCGUUCCUAAUUCUGUAACUCCCUUCUAACUUCUUCAAUUUCAUGGAACCUGAUGCUCACCGCCACAAGAUGGGAGCAUCCUCUUCAAGGUUAAAGCCAGACAUGCCUCUGGCAUACAUUCUGAGGAACUGGGAGCAAUUUGAUCCCCAAACUCUGAAAAGGAAGUGCCUCAUCUUCUUCUGCACACAAGCCUGGCCUCAAUACAAACUCUCUGAUGGAGAGACUUGGCCCUCUGAGGGAAAUACACUAUAUAAUAAAGUUAUGCAGCUAGAUUAACUUUGCCACAAAGAAGGAAAAUGGUCAUGUAAAGGAAUGCAGGAAACACCCUAGAGCGAGAGCCACCCAGUUUCCAUACUCUAAGGGGGAUGAAACUUGUGACAAGACGUUAAGGAAUGCUUGUGCAAAGGUCAGGCAAGCGGUGGGUCCCCGUUUCAACUUUAUUGGUUAAAGUAUGGGAUGUGUUUUAAAUUCAUUGGUUGUGGUAAUGUGUGGGCUUUGGUGCAACGGCUGUGGAAAUCCUAUAUAAUCUAUACCUAAAGUUGCUUGGGGGUCGACAGCUCGGACUCGACCUGCGUGUCAGGGGAGGUGCUGUCGGCCCCAGCUAGCUGGCUGAAUAAAGACUUUGCUUGGA